AUGAACGCUGGCGGCGUGCCUAAUACAUGCAAGUCGAACGAAACUUCUUUAUCACCGAGUGCUUGCACUCACCGAUAAAGAGUUGAGUGGCGAACGGGUGAGUAACACGUGGGCAACCUGCCCAAAAGAGGGGGAUAACACUUGGAAACAGGUGCUAAUACCGCAUAACCAUAGUUACCGCAUGGUAACUAUGUAAAAGGUGGCUAUACUACCGCUUCUGGAUGGGCCCGCGGCGCAUUAGCUAGUUGGUAGGGUAAAGGCUUACCAAGGCAAUGAUGCGUAGCCGAAUUGAGAGGUUGAUCGGCCACAUUGGGACUGAGACACGGCCCAAACUCCUACGGGAGGCAGCAGUAGGGAAUCUUCCACAAUGGGCGAAAGCCUGAUGGAGCAACGCCGCGUGGGUGAAGAAGGUCUUCGGAUCGUAAAACCCUGUUGUUAGAGAAGAAAGUGCGUGAGAGUAACUGUUCACGUUUCGACGGUAUCUAACCAGAAAGCCACGGCUAACUACGUG
rnacentral:rRNA from 1 species